rnacentral:lncRNA from 1 species
ACAAAUUCAUCAUCAAACAUGACAUGGCCUCAAUGGUCUUUAUAUAAUAUGUGUGACAAGAAAUGUACGUAGUCUUCAAAAAGUUCAACUAAGAGAGAGAUCGACACAACAUUGUCAACAAUUCCAGUAGAAUCCUUAUUACCUCAUGCAAUCAUACUCAUACGAGUCACUAGUUUUAAUGGCGGCAUCCACAUUCAUGAGAGGCUCCAAAUAAACAAAAUAAUCCACAAAAUAUAGCUAUGAAGUACUAGCUCAAACAAUCCAUACACAAGCAACAAAAGACUGCCAAAAUUAACUAAUACAUGAUGCCGAACUCAAAUAGUAAAGAACAGAAGAUAGAAUGGACCUUUUGCAGCCAAAAUUCAAAAUAAGCCUUUGAAUACAUCCCGAAGCAAAAUCAAACAAAGAACCUAAACAAAACCCGCGAUAGGAGAACUCGCACGGCUAUCUCGACGACCUCGAUCCUCAGCUCGACCUCUUUUACGAACCCAAGAUUGGAAAAUGACACUGAAACUCGAUUCUUCACUCACAUACUUUUCCUCUCCAAUUUUCUGAAACUUCGAAACUGAAGGAGCAGUGAUGGAACGGAUUGGUGAAGGAAGGUGAGCGGCUGUUUGGUUGUUUUUGUAGGAGGCGUUAGGUUGCUGAUGGUUAUUAAGAAGAAGGGGUAGAUUUGCUCGUUUUCCGGCGACUAUGGUGGUGGGACAGGGUCACAGCAGUAACAAUAGAUGGCUGGUUUGGUGAUUUUGAGUUCGGGUCGAUGUAGAGAGCAUGGUCGUUUGGAGAAGACGAUGGGGGAGGGGUGCUCGCUGCGGCUGUCUCAGAACUUUUGCAAAGUGUCUAUCUUUUUGAUUUUUUCAGGCAUCAUUUUUUCUUUUUUUUGUUUUGUGUAUUUUAGAUUCUUAGGGUUUUAUAGGUCUAGAGUCUAGGUUUACAGCUGCGGCUGUCUCAGAUCUUUUGCAAAGUGUCUAUCUUUUUAAUUUUUC